UGAGGAAUUUUCCGCAAUGCCCGCAAGGGUGACGGAGCAACGCCGCGUGAACGAUGAAGACCUUCGGGUUGUAAAGUUCUGUCAGGGGGGAAGAUGUGCCCCGAUAGCAAUAUCGGGGCUGACGGUACCCUCAGAGGAAGUCCCGGCUAACUACGUGCCAGCAGCCGCGGUAAUACGUAGGGGGCAAGCGUUGUUCGGAAUUACUAGGCGUAAAGGGUGUGUAGGUGUCCCGACAAGUUUCUGGUGAAAUCUUUAGGCUUAACCUAAGAACUGCCAGAAAAACUGUCAGGAUUGAGUAUAGGAGAGGAAAGCGGAAUUCCCGGUGUAGCAGUGAAAUGCGUAGAUAUCGGGAGGAACACCAGUGGCGAAGGCGGCUUUCUGGCCUAAAACUGACACUGAGACACGAAAGCUAGGGGAGCAAACAGG
rnacentral:rRNA from 1 species